UCCGCCCCCUGCUGCGGAGUGGUCCACCUGGCUGCGGAGGUUCCGCGCGGACUCCGAGAGGAGCCUCGUUUUUUGAGCUGCGCAGGCGCCGUUGCCUGUUUCUCCUCACGCCGCCCUUUAAUAAGCCUGAAGGAUAUGACCCUCUGAACUGAGUAAUUAGACAUUACACGUUGUACAAGAGAAGUACUAGGGAAGUGAAGGCUUGAAAGGAGGACUGGGGAGCCAGAGGACUCAGCAGCAGGCAAUCCCAGAAGCCAAGCACACACAGCCCACAAGCUGGGACCACCAAGAAUCAGCUAUACCAGCCACAGGUGUACAUGUAUAAAGACAGAAGAGACUGAACUCAACUGCAGUCGUGUUUCAAGUGCCAUCACUUUCUUCUAGCCUCAGUACAAAACUGACACCAGCACCAGUGAAGAUUUUCAAGCUUAGAAGUGAACCCGGCAUAUCCUCUCUUGAUAUCUACUGAGCAGAAACGGUUGUGUGCGUCCACCACAGACACAUCAAGAAUGUUUACAGCUGUACUAUUUCUAAUAGCUCCAGAGUGGAAAUAGGUAGAGAAAAUACUUCCAGUUGGGUGAGUCACGCUUCCAGAAAGACUUGAGGAAUUCUCAGACAAG